ensembl:ncRNA C30E1.9 ncRNA
GUCAUUUGUUCCCUCACCCUUACUUUCGAAUUCCCUCCCCUUCUCUACCGCCCGUAACCCCGUUCUCUCUUUAUUCUUCGUCAGCAAAACCGUAAGGUUCCAGGACUUCAGGAUACUCCACGGCUCCACUGCUCCCAGCAUCUGGAUUUAGGGAUAUUUGGUGAGAUGGUUCCAAAAACAGGACUUUUCCCCUCGGCAAUCUUUUUGUGGUCUUCGUCAGUCGGUUGAAAAAAUGACGCAAAAUCUUGUGACUAUGCAUAGCUGAGGCUCUUCUUGAAAUUGUUCCCAAAAAGAAACCCAAACUGCUACGUGACUCAAUCCGCGAAGCACACUGUAACUACUUGACACGCUCCAACUCACUACCUCACUUGGACUCAAAAGUUGUUGGUCUUAAGGUUCGUUAGGUUUGCGCCUUGCAUCAUUUUUCCAUCUUUCUAUCAUCUCUGGCGACCCAUCUAAGGGCUUCGUGUCAACUAACCCAAUGAUUCCAGCUCAGAUACCAACGUACCUCUACUUCCAGUUAGAAAACUCGCUCGCUUUCAGGUGUCAAAGGGAUUAUAGUAACAAGUCAUGUGAAACUCAGUCAGUCUAAGGUUCAAAAUUCCAUCUCUUACUUGCCCGAUACGUGACGCGAAGACGCUUAUUGUACAACUCUUCCGGAUAGCUCUGCCGGAUCUUUGCGUGCAUUGAAAUCGAUUCUGUUCCUCCGUACCUAUCCAAAUUUCACUUGAAAACUUCAGACUUGAAAUCUCUCCUUUGAAAUUUUAAUUUGAAAAAAAUUGAAUUGUCAAAAGAAAAGUCUUCUCUUACCAGAAGUUCUUCAAAAAAAACCUACCAAAAUUUGAAUUGUAACCUUAUACUUUACUGUGCAUAUAUAUUAAACUUUAAAAAAAUCUAAUUAGCAAACAAUAAAUAAUGGUAAAUUCCAAAGUCUUAAGUGUUUUUUGAUCCUUCUCUCUUCAAAUAGGUAUUUUGAAACAUUUCGAACAACUAUUGCGAAAUCUCGGAUCAUCAAGCACCCACGACGCGCUAUUGCGAAAUCAGCCCCGUAGUGCACUGAAUGACUCAUCGCUGUCUGUAUCUCAAUACCAGGUAAAAACCAAUUACUUUCUCAACUGUUUUUGCAGGAUUUUUUGGGAUGACUUUGUUCCGGUGGCAAUUAGCAUUUCGCAACUUUAGGAAAAUUCCAGAACGUUUUCAUUUCUUCCGAAGAAAAAAACUUUGAGAUUCAAUUUUUGCAUACUGUACUUUAAUAAGUAGUUUCAGUAACAACUAUUUUAGACUAAAGAUGUCAGGCGCAGCAGUUAUAUCUUCAAAAUUCAAAUUGAAUAUCAUCAUUCACUCUCACUAAUGGACACAAACUGAAUUAUUGGGUUUCUUGUAAAUAAAUAAAAUUUUAAAAUAAAAUUAACUUUCAAAAAUCUACUUUCAAAAACGUAAGUUCGUGUGAAUCAAAAGUUUCAGAAAACCGUCGAAUGACGCUUUAAAACUGGUUGUUGUGGAAAAUAAUAUUGUGACUCCGGUUUAUAUGUGUGAUGAAAUGUUAGAAAAUUGCAACGUGCCCAAUUACUUCAUACCAACAUCUAUUCGCGUCUUGAUGCUUUUCUUUAUGAAUGCCGAAGCCUUUUACUAUUCUCUCAAAUCGAACCGUAAAUUUAAAAUUUGGAAGACUAGACUAUUUACUCGAACCAAAAACUCAAACCAAUCUCCCAAUCAAAAUUCGAAAAAACCUAAAUCCCAACCGCGUAGAAAACUAUCUAAAAACUAAUAUCGUGUUAAGCUCUCAAAUAUUCUAACUUCAAAUUUAAAAAUUCUGAGACUGUAACAUUCUUUCCAAACCAAACCUCAUGUCAAACUCUUAACAAACCGUAUAGGAAACUAUCUCAGUAACUAAGAUCGUGUUAAACUCUCAAAUGAAUCCAAACUUUAAAUUAAAAAAAUUCUAAGACUGUACCAUUCUCUCAAAUCAAAAUAUCAGGUCAAAAACUCUACCAAAGUUACCUAAAUACCAAAAUCCAAAUCGCGUAGGAAGCUAUCUCAAUGACUAAGAUCGUGUUAAACUCUCAAAUCAAUCCAAACUUAAAAUAUAAAAUUUCUAAGACUGUACCAUUCUCUCCAUUCAAAACCUCAUGUCAAACUCUCAAUCAAAAUUCUAAAUACCAAAAUCCAAAUCGCGUAGGAAACUAUCUCAAUGACUAAAAUCGUGUUAAACUCUCAAAUCAAUCCAAACUUAAAAUAUGAAAAUUCUAAGAUUGUACCAUUCUCUCCAAUCAAAACCUCAUGUCAAACUCUCAAUCAAAAUUCUAAAUACCAAAAUCCAAAUCGCGUAGGAAACUAUCUCAUUAAUUAAGAUCGUGUUAAACUCUCAAAUCAAUCCAAACUUUAAAUAUAAAAAUUCUAAGACUGUACCAUUCUCUCCAAUCAAAACCUCAUGUCAAACUCUCAACCAAAAUUCUAAAUACCAAAAUCCAAAUCGCGUAGGAAACUAUUUCAAUAAUUAAGAUUGUGUUAAGCUCUCAAAUCAAUCAAAACUCUAAAUAUAAAAAUUCUAAGACUGUACCAUUCUCUCCAAUCAAAACCUCAUGUCAAACUCUCUACCAAAAUUCUAAAUACCAAAAUCCAAAUCGCGUAGGAAAUUAUCCCAAUAACUAAGAUCGUGUUGAACUCUCAAUUCGAUCCAAACUUAAAAUAUGAAAAUUCUAAGACUGUACCAUUCUCUCCAAUCAAAACCUUAUGUCAAACUCUCAACCAAAAUUCUAAAUACCAAAAUCCAAAUCGCGUAGGAAACUAUUUCUAUAAUUAAGAUCGUGUUAAACUCUCGAAUCAAUUCAAACUUUAAAUUUAAACAUUCUAAGACUGUACCAUUCCUUCCAAUCAAAAUAUCAUGUCAAACUCUCAACCAAAAUUCUAAAUACCAAAAUCCAAAUCGCGUAGGAAACUAUCUCAAUGACUAAAAUCGUGUUAAACUCUCAAAUCAAUCCAAACUUAAAAUAUGAAAAUUCUAAGAUUGUACCAUUCUCUCCAAUCAAAACCUCAUGUCAAACUCUCAAUCAAAAUUCUAAAUACCAAAAUCCAAAUCGCGUAGGAAACUAUCUCAUUAAUUAAGAUCGUGUUAAACUCUCAAAUCAAUCCAAACUUUAAAUAUAAAAAUUCUAAGACUGUACCAUUCUCUCCAAUCAAAACCUCAUGUCAAACGCUCAAUCAAAAUUCUAAAUACCAAAAUCCAAAUCGCGUAGGAAACUAUCUCAAUGACUAAAAUCGUGUUAAACUCUCAAAUCAAUCCAAACUUAAAAUAUGAAAAUUCUAAGAUUGUACCAUUCUCUCCAAUCAAAACCUCAUGUCAAACUCUCAAUCAAAAUUCUAAAUACCAAAAUCCAAAUCGCGUAGGAAACUAUCUCAAUGACUAAAAUCGUGUUAAACUCUCAAAUCAAUCCAAACUUAAAAUAUGAAAAUUCUAAGAUUGUACCAUUCUCUCCAAUCAAAACCUCAUGUCAAACGCUCAAUCAAAAUUCUAAAUACCAAAAUCCAAAUCGCGUAGGAAACUAUCUCAUUAAUUAAGAUCGUGUUAAACUCUCAAAUCAAUCCAAACUUUAAAUAUAAAAAUUCUAAGACUGUACCAUUCUCUCCAAUCAAAACCUCAUGUCAAACGCUCAAUCAAAAUUCUAAAUACCAAAAUCCAAAUCGCGUAGGAAACUAUCUCAAUGACUAAAAUCGUGUUAAACUCUCAAAUCAAUCCAAACUUAAAAUAUGAAAAUUCUAAGAUUGUACCAUUCUCUCCAAUCAAAACCUCAUGUCAAACUCUCAAUCAAAAUUCUAAAUACCAAAAUCCAAAUCGCGUAGGAAACUAUCUCAUUAAUUAAGAUCGUGUUAAACUCUCAAAUCAAUCCAAACUUAAAAUAUGAAAAUUCUAACAUUGUACCAUUCUCUCCAAUCAAAACCUCAUGUCAAACUCUCAAUCAAAAUUCUAAAUACCAAAAUCCAAAUCGCGUAGGAAACUAUCUCAAUAAUUAAGAUUGUGUUAAGCUCUCAAAUCAAUCCAAACUUAAAAUAUGAAAAUUCUAAGAUUGUACCAUUCUCUCCAAUCAAAACCUCAUGUCAAACUCUCAAUCAAAAUUCUAAAUACCAAAAUCCAAACCGCGUAGGAAACUAUUUCAAUAAUUAAGAUCGUUUUAAACUCUCAAAUCAAUCAAAACUCUAAAUAAAAUAUUUCUAAGACUGUACGAUUCUCUCCAAUCAAAAUAUCAUGUCAAACUCUCUACCAAAAUUCUAAAUACCAAAAUCCAAAUCGCGUAGGAAAUUAUCCCAAUAACUAAGAUUGUGUUAAGCUCUCAAAUCAAUCAAAACUAAAUAUAAAAAUUCUAAGACUGUACCAUUCUCUCCAAUCAAAACCUCAUGUCAAACUCUCUACCAAAAUUUUAAAUACCAAAAUCCAAAUCGCGUAGGAAACUAUUUCUAUAAUUAAGAUCGUGUUAAACUCUCGAAUCAAUUCAAACUUUAAAUUUAAACAUUCUAAGACUGUACCAUUCCUUCCAAUCAAAAUAUCAUGUCAAACUCUCAACCAAAAUUCUAAAUACCAAAAUCCAAAUCGCGUAGGAAACCAUCUCAAUGACUAAGAUCGUGUUAAACUCUCGAAUCAAUUCAAACUUUAAAUUUAAACAUUCUAAGACUGUACCAUUCCUUCCAAUCAAAAUAUCAUGUCAAACUCUCAACCAAAAUUCUAAAUACCAAAAUCCAAAUCGCGUAGGAAACUAUCUCAAUGACUAAAAUCGUGUUAAACUCUCAAAUCAAUCAAAACUUAAAAUAUAAAAUUUCUGAGACUGUACCAUUCCUUCCAAUCAAAAUAUCAUGUCAAACUCUCUACCAAAAUUCCAAAUACCAAAAUCCAAAUCGCGUAGGAAACUAUCUCAUUAAUUAAGAUCGUGUUAAACUCUCAAAUCAAUCCAAACUUUAAAUAUAAAAAUUCUAAGACUGUACCAUUCUCUCCAAUCAAAACCUCAUGCCAAACUCUAACCAAAAUUCUAAAUACCAAAAUCCAAAUCGCGUAGGAAACUAUCUCAUUAAUUAAGAUCGUGUUAAACUCUCAAAUCAAUCCAAACUUUAAAUUUAAAAAUUCUAAGACUGUACCAUUUUCUCCAAUCAAAACCUUAAGUCAAACUCUCAACCAAAAUUUUAAAUACCAAAAUCCAAAUCGCGUAGGAAACUAUCUCAAUGACUAAGAUCGUGUUAAACUCUCAAAUCAAUCCAAACUUAAAAUAUAAAAUUUCUAAGACUGUACCAUUCCUUCCAAUCAAAAUAUCAUGUAAAACUCUCUACCAAAAUUCCAAAUACCAAAAUCCAAAUCGCGUAGGAAACUAUCUCAAUGACUAAGAUCGUGUUAAACUCUCGAAUCAAUUCAAACUUUAAAUAAGAAAAUACUAAGACUGUACCAUUCUCUCCAAUCAAAACCUCAUGUCAAACUCUUAAUCAAAAUUCUAAAUACCAAACUCCAAAUCGCGUAGGAAACUAUCUCAUUAAUCAAGAUCGUGUUAAACUCUCAAAUCAAUCCAAACUUUAAAUAUAAAAAUUCUAAGACUGUACCAUUCUCUCCAAUCAAAACCUCAUGUCAAACUCUCAACCAAAAUUCUAAAUACCAAAAUCCAAAUCGCGUAGGAAACUAUCUCAUUAAUUAAGAUCGUGUUAAACUCUCAAAUCAAUCCAAACUUUAAAUAUAAAAAUUCUAAGACUGUACCAUUCUCUCCAAUCAAAACCUCAUGUCAAACUCUCAACCAAAAUUCUAAAUACCAAAAUCCAAAUCGCGUAGGAAACUAUCUCAUUAAUUAAGAUCGUGUUAAACUCUCAAAUCAAUCCAAACUUUAAAUAUAAAAAUUCUAAGACUGUACCAUUCUCUCCAAUCAAAACCUCAUGUCAAACUCUCAACCAAAAUUCUAAAUACCAAAAUCCAAAUCGCGUAGGAAACUAUCUCAUUAAUUAAGAUCGUGUUAAACUCUCAAAUCAAUCCAAACUUUAAAUAUAAAAAUUCUAAGACUGUACCAUUCUCUCCAAUCAAAACCUCAUGUCAAACUCUCAAUCAAAAUUCUAAAUACCAAAAUCCAAAUCGCGUAGGAAACUAUCUCAAUGACUAAGAUCGUGUUAAACUCUCAAAUCGAUCCAAACUUUAAAUAUGAAAUUCUAAGACUGUACCAUUUUCUCCAAUCAAAACCUUAUGUCAGAUCGUGUUAAACUCUCAAUUCGAUCCAAACUUAAAUUAUGAAAAUUCUAAGACUGUACCAUUUUCUCCAAUCAAAACCUUAAGUCAAACUCUCAACCAAAAUUUUAAAUACCAAAAUCCAAAUCGCGUAGGAAACUAUCUCAAUGACUAAGAUCGUGUUAAACUCUCAAAUCAAUCCAAACUUAAAAUAUAAAAUUUCUAAGACUGUACCAUUCCUUCCAAUCAAAAUAUCAUGUCAAACUCUCUACCAAAAUUCCAAAUACCAAAAUCCAAAUCGCGUAGGAAACUAUCUCAAUGACUAAGAUCGUGUUAAACUCUCAAUUCGAUCCAAACUUAAAUUAUGAAAAUUCUAAGACUGUACCAUUUUCUCCAAUCAAAACCUUAAGUCAAACUCUCAACCAAAAUUUUAAAUACCAAAAUCCAAAUCGCGUAGGAAACUAUCUCAAUGACUAAGAUCGUGUUAAACUCUCAAAUCAAUCCAAACUUAAAAUAUAAAAUUUCUAAGACUGUACCAUUCCUUCCAAUCAAAAUAUCAUGUCAAACUCUCUACCAAAAUUCCAAAUACCAAAAUCCAAAUCGCGUAGGAAACUAUCUCAAUGACUAAGAUCGUGUUAAACUCUCGAAUCAAUUCAAACUUAAAAUAUAAAAUUUCUAAUACUGUACCAUUCCUUCCAAUCAAAACCUCAUGUCAAACUCUUAAUCAAAAUUCUAAAUACCAAAAUCCAAAUCGCGUAGGAAACUAUCUCAUUAAUUAAGAUCGUGUUAAACUCUCAAAUCAAUCCAAACUUAAAAUAUAAAAAUUCUAAAACUGUACCAUUCUCUCCAAUUAAAACCUCAUGUCAAACUCUCUACCAAAAUUCUAAAUACCAAAAUCCAAAUCGCGUAGGAAACUAUCUCAAUGACUAAGAUCGUGUUAAACUCUCAAAUCAAUCCAAACUUAAAAUAUAAAAUUUCUAAGACUGUACCAUUCCUUCCAAUCAAAAUAUCAUGUCAAACUCUCAACCAAAAUUCUAAAUACCAAAAUCCAAAUCGCGUAGGAAACUAUCUCAUUAAUUAAGAUCGUGUUAAACUCUCAAAUCAAUCCAAACUUUAAAUAUAAAAAUUCUAAGACUGUACCAUUCUCUCCAAUCAAAACCUCAUGUCAAACUCUCACCCAAAAUUCUAAAUACCAAAAUCCAAAUCGCGUAGGAAACUAUCUCAUUAAUUAAGAUCGUGUUAAACUCUCAAAUCAAUCCAAACUUUAAAUAUAAAAAUUCUAAGACUGUACCAUUCUCUCCAAUCAAAACCUCAUGUCAAACUCUUAAUCAAAAUUCUAAAUACCAAAAUCCAAAUCGCGUAGGAAACUAUCUCAUUAAUUAAGAUCGUGUUAAACUCUCAAAUCAAUCCAAACUUUAAAUAUAAAAAUUCUAAGACUGUACCAUUCUCUCCAAUCAAAACCUCAUGUCAAACUCUUAAUCAAAAUUCUAAAUACCAAAAUCCAAAUCGCGUAGGAAACUAUCUCAUUAAUUAAGAUCGUGUUAAACUCUCAAAUCAAUCCAAACUUUAAAUUUAAAAAUUCUAAGACUGUACCAUUCUCUCCAAUCAAAACCUUAUGUCAAACUCUCAAUCAAAAUUCUAAAUACCAAAAUCCAAAUCGCGUAGGAAACUAUCUCAAUGACUAAGAUCGUGUUAAACUCUCAAUUCGAUCCAAACUUAAAUUAUGAAAAUUCUAAGACUGUACCAUUUUCUCCAAUCAAAACCUUAAGUCAAACUCUCAACCAAAAUUUUAAAUACCAAAAUCCAAAUCGCGUAGGAAACUAUCUCAAUGACUAAGAUCGUGUUAAACUCUCAAAUCAAUCCAAACUUAAAAUAUAAAAUUUCUAAGACUGUACCAUUCCUUCCAAUCAAAAUAUCAUGUAAAACUCUCUACCAAAAUUCCAAAUACCAAAAUCCAAAUCGCGUAGGAAACUAUCUCAAUGACUAAGAUCGUGUUAAACUCUCGAAUCAAUUCAAACUUUAAAUAAGAAAAUUCUAAGACUGUACCAUUCUCUCCAAUCAAAACCUCAUGUCAAACUCUUAAUCAAAAUUCUAAAUACCAAAAUCCAAAUCGCGUAGGAAACUAUCUCAUUAAUUAAGAUCGUGUUAAACUCUCAAAUCAAUCCAAACUUUAAAUAUAAAAAUUCUAAGACUGUACCAUUCUCUCCAAUCAAAACCUCAUGUCAAACUCUUAAUCAAAAUUCUAAAUACCAAAAUCCAAAUCGCGUAGGAAACUAUCUCAUUAAUUAAGAUCGUGUUAAACUCUCAAAUCAAUCCAAACUUUAAAUAUAAAAAUUCUAAGACUGUACCAUUCUCUCCAAUCAAAACCUCAUGUCAAACUCUCAACCAAAGUUCUAAAUACCAAAAUCCAAAUCGCGUAGGAAACUAUCUCAUUAAUUAAGAUCGUGUUAAACUCUCAAAUCAAUCCAAACUUUAAAUUUAAAAAUUCUAAGACUGUACCAUUCUCUCCAAUCAAAACCUUAUGUCAAACUCUCAAUCAAAAUUCUAAAUACCAAAAUCCAAAUCGCGUAGGAAACUAUCUCAAUGACUAAGAUCGUGUUAAACUCUCAAUUCGAUCCAAACUUAAAUUAUGAAAAUUCUAAGACUGUACCAUUCUCUCCAAUCAAAACCUCAUGUCAAACUCUUAAUCAAAAUUCUAAAUACCAAAAUCCAAAUCGCGUAGGAAACUAUCUCAUUAAUUAAGAUCGUGUUAAACUCUCAAAUCAAUCCAAACUUAAAAUAUAAAAAUUCUAAAACUGUACCAUUCUCUCCAAUUAAAACCUCAUGUCAAACUCUCUACCAAAAUUCUAAAUACCAAAAUCCAAAUCGCGUAGGAAACUAUCUCAUUAAUUAAGAUCGUGUUAAACUCUCGAAUCAAUUCAAACUUUAAAUAAGAAAAUUCUAAGACUGUACCAUUCUUUCCAAUCAAAACCUCAUGUCAAACUCUCAAUCAAAAUUCUAAAUACCAAAAUCCAAAUCGCGUAGGAAACUAUCUCAUUAAUUAAGAUCGUGUUAACCUCUCAAAUCAAUCCAAACUUUAAAAAUAAAAAUUCUAGGACUGUACCAUUCUCUCUAAACAAAACCUUAAGUCAAACUCUCAACCAAAAUUUCGAAUAUCUAAAUCCAAAUCGCGUAGGAAACUAUCUCAAUAACUAAGAUCGUGUUAAACUCUCAAAUCAAUCCAAACUUUAAAAAUAUAAAUUCUAAGACUGUAUCAUUUUCUCUAAACAAAAGCUCAUAAAAAGCUCUCAACCAAAAUUCUAAAUACCAAAAUCCAAAUCGCGUAGGAAACUAUCUCAAUGACUAAGAUCGUGUUAAACUCUCAAUUCGAUCCAAACUUAAAUUAUGAAAAUUCUAAGACUGUACCAUUCUCUCCAAUCAAAACCUCAUGUCAAACUCUUAAUCAAAAUUCUAAAUACCAAAAUCCAAAUCGCGUAGGAAACUAUCUCAUUAAUUAAGAUCGUGUUAAACUCUCAAAUCAAUCCAAACUUAAAAUAUAAAAAUUCUAAAACUGUACCAUUCUCUCCAAUUAAAACCUCAUGUCAAACUCUCUACCAAAAUUCUAAAUACCAAAAUCCAAAACGCGUAGGAAACUAUCUCAUUAAUUAAGAUCGUGUUAAACUCUCGAAUCAAUUCAAACUUUAAAUAAGAAAAUUCUAAGACUGUACCAUUCUUUCCAAUCAAAACCUCAUGUCAAACUCUCAAUCAAAAUUCUAAAUACCAAAAUCCAAAUCGCGUAGGAAACUAUCUCAUUAAUUAAGAUCGUGUUAACCUCUCAAAUCAAUCCAAACUUUAAAAAUAAAAAUUCUAGGACUGUACCAUUCUCUCUAAACAAAACCUUAAGUCAAACUCUCAACCAAAAUUUCGAAUAUCUAAAUCCAAAUCGCGUAGGAAACUAUCUCAAUAACUAAGAUCGUGUUAAACUCUCAAAUCAAUCCAAACUUUAAAAAUAUAAAUUCUAAGACUGUAUCAUUUUCUCUAAACAAAAGCUCAUAAAAAGCUCUCAACCAAAAUUCUAAAUACCAAAAUCCAAAUCGCGUAGAAAAGUUUCUCAGUAACAAAGAUCGUGUCAAACUCCCAAAUCAAUCCAAACUUUGAAUACAAAAAUUCUAAGAUUGCACCAAUUUCUCCAACGAAAACCUCAACCCAAACUCUCAAUCAAACUUCCAAAUACCAAAAUCCAAAUGGCGUAAGAAACCUGUUUUUUAUCUGAAUUUGGCUGACCUAGAAUGUUUUCUCUUCGAACCUAUUCCCUAGUGCAUUAUAUUUUCCUAAUUGAUAUACUUUUCAUUUUGUUUCUAACACAACAUUCUGGUGUUUCUUUUUAAUUAAUAUGUAAUUGUCACAUUUAGUUACGUGCAUAAGGUGAAUUUGUAACACUCACUCGGGUUUUUUUUCGAAAAUUUACUCUGUAUUCUCCACGGUUUCGCACUUAGUUUUUUCUCAAUUUGUCUGAACUUUUGUAACAUUAAAUUAACUCGCAAGUUCUGCCGGUGAUGGAAAAAUGUCAGUGUUCAUGGUAGUUUUUUCAGAGCUAGUUUUCUCUUUACCUCAUCUUUGAGCAUAUUCUAUCUUUUUUUAAUUUUAGAGUUUUUCAGCUACUACUGAUUAACGGCCAAUUAACUAUCUAAACGAGGGCUCAGACUUUAGUGUCAUCUCAGUCGCUUAUUUUUUUAAACUCUAUUUCAAUCGUUGCCGUACUACCUGAAGUUUGAGAAUAAUCAAAUUUAUGAGUGUCGCGGUGAAGUUUCGUUUUUUUGUUGCAUAGCAUGAUGUUUUCCCAGGGUCUUCGGUCUUCUUAUAAAAUGGUUCAGUUUUUAACUUCUCCAUAAUGUCAAGCUGUCGUAACUGACUAGUGAAGUCUACUUUACAAAUUGUGUGUAUUGUUUGAGGCUUACUUUUCAAAUUAGAAUUUGCACAAUUUUUUACGGUGUCAGUUUGUACAUUUUUCCUAAUUCUUAGCACACUUCUUUUCACACAAAAUGGUUUAAUUCCGCUAAUUUUUCAACUUUCGCCUUCUUCUUUCAGGUAAACGUCGUCCAAAUGUAUUUAAACCCUCACAGAGAAUACCCUGUUAACUCAUUGAUUCCCACAAGAUCUGCUAAUACUUUUUCACUGUAUCGCCUUACAGUUCGGGUCUCUCGUUUUCACCCAAGUCGUUUAGUUUUUUUUCUACGUGUGAAAUUGUCAUAAUUUGGCGUUGGCUGCAUGAUUCUGUCCUUCGAUUGGCACUAUUUUCGGCGUCAAAUUUUUAGUUUUGACAAAUGUUUAAUGUGUCAUAACUAAAGUGGCCAUAAGCUUGUAUAAGCUUGAUCACAAUCAAGCUCCUCGCACUAUCCAGCCUUUCGCUUUGUUCCUCCAAUUUUCAAAAAAGUCAUUGAUUUUUCCUAAAUUUAAAUGUAAUAAAAAACCAGUGAAUGUCGCAAUUGUUAAACAAACAUUUCUCAACCUCAACAUUUUUGAUUUCAUAGCUUCGAAACAGUCUUCGAAUUUUCGUCACCUGCAUUUCGGCCAGCUUUUUUCUGUCUACCCAAAUCCAAAAUUUUCCCGGUUAUCUAAAAUUGUAACAACACAUAUCUCCUUUAAUUGUCAGUUUUACCAGCAUGCGUUUUGCUGAUUUUCUCAUGUUACUUUCCAGAAAUCCUCCUGAUGCAUUUGUAGUUUGUGGUUGUUUAAUAUGGUUAUUCUUAAGGUAUGAAAUGUGAUUUCCAAUAUUCCGUUGUCAUCGUCACUUUCCUAAGUUUAGUUAAAUAAUCAUAUAAUCUACAUCAGAUGUUUGACGUUACCACUCUAAUGAGUAUUUGCUAAUAACAAAACUUGGUCACUUUUUAGAUCUAACUCCUACCCCAUUAAAUUAUUAUGUCUUUCCGGUCUAAUAAUUUGUAUUAGCAUAAAGUUUAUCGGGAUGUUUCUGGUUAUUCUAAAACUUCAGUGUUCAUGGUGAUUGUCAUUAUUUUCAGCUUCAUAUUUCGUGUAUUCAAAACUUUUCGCCUAACUCGCCAUACACAGCUGUUAGCUUUUAUAUAAAUAGGUAAUAACAUAACAUUUUUGUGAGUGUCGAAGUUAAUUGAUAAGUUGCUGAGCAUGACUUUUGAUCAAGAAAUUUUUUAUGCCUUAGUUUGUUCUUUUUUCCCAGAUGAAGAACAAUUUAUUACCGAAAUAACGCACUAGCACCAGAGAUGCCUGUUAAAGUUUUUAUUGAAUAUCUGCUAACACUUGAUAUCGAAAAUUAAAUUCUCCACGUUGUGAGUUUUUUUUUUUACAUUUCAGCUCUAAUUUUCAACACAUCUACUAUUUUUCUUAAUAUGCGGUGCCCAUUUGGCCAAAUCAUUAUGCUGGUGCUCUUAAACGUUUUAUGUCUUGUGACACAAUCUAAGUUCAAUCUCACCUGUUUACCCAACUUCUGGCUUCAAAUUUUCAGUUUACAAUACAUUUUUCAAGGAUUAGCAUGACUUCCAUAAAUCGCAGCGCACUAGCACUAGAGGGUGCCAAUCCGCCAGUGAUACUAAUUCUUGAUCCCCAGUUUAAAAUGUUCUACGUUAUAUUGAGAUCCUUAUAAUUUUUGUGAGUGUCGCCGUGAUCAAUUAUUCUUCAGUUGCGUCGCUAAAGAUGACUUCUCCCGUGGUUCUUUACGUCUUCCUAGCUUAACUUGAUCAUGGCUUUCAAAUUUUGGUGUAUAUAACUAGGUGUUGAGCAUGAUUCUCAAACGAUUCUGAGCACUAGCACUAGAGGUUUUGAGGAAAAACCAUAUUUGUUUUUUUUUGAUUGAGAAGAACAAUUUGGUUUCUGAAGUUAUUUAAAAACUUACUUUCCUUUUGUUAUUCCUAUUGUUGCCCAUUCGGUUUUAACAGGUUGCUUUUUUUAACGAUUCCGUAAUACCCAAUAGGUAAUUUUUCGCUUGUGUGAGUUUUGAAAAAAAAAAUCUGAAAUUAUUUUACGUCGUAUUUCAACAGCAAGAAAGCUUUUUAAGAUUUCGAAAUUAUAAAGUUACCAAAAAUUUCGUCAUAGUUGUUAAUAAAGUUCGUCGUCAUUUCAUAGUAGUAUUUAGGUGAAAAACUAUUAUAGAAAACAUUGACAACUAUAUUUACUCUAUGUUAAGUUUCUUUUUCUGAAAACUUGUUCUCUGAAAAAAGUUACCAGUUAUUUUCUUUAUAUCCCCGAAACGUUCUCAAAAAUUUCUUCAAUCUCUUCCACAAACUGAGAACUUCUAAAUUUCACUCCUGAAACCAGUUGUUCAGCUUUGCCGUGAGGCUGUGGUGGGUAACUCCGUCAUUAGUAGUGGCACUCAUUCGCCCGACGCUUCUGACACAUGGAGGAAUCCUGGUGGUCGGUGAACUGUCGUACUUGCACCGAACUUGCCAGGCUCGCCUCUCAGUUUGAAAAAACUCAAAAAGUUUUAGACAAUUUUUGUGAAAUAUUCAAAAAAUAAACUUCUUUUAAAAUUUUUAAGACAUAGUAAAAUUUAGGCAUUUUGCUCAUUUUAAAUCUUAAAUUGCAAUUUUAAUUUUUUAAUAAAUCAUUAUGUUACAAAAUAAUAAAAAAAUUCCAAAUACUUUUUGCUGAUCUUUUUUAAUCGUAUUCAAAUAACAAAUUUUGUGAAAAAAUAUUAAUUUCAUAGAAAUUUUGCUAACAUUUUUGCAGACAAUUUUGGCACCAAAUUUGGAAACGUUAUUUCGACAUCGUUUUUGGAUCUUUUUUUUGUGUUUGUUCGAAAAAAAAUUAAUAAACAUUUUUUUGUAUAACAACAGUGUUAAUCACAUCACAUAAAAUUCAGAUAAAUUGACUAUAAAGAAAUUGUCCGAGCCGAACUUCAGCAUUGGAACUAUCAACAUUGGAAGGAUAUCCAGUAUCCAACUUGUGGACAAUAAACCUGAACAAAUAUUAUUUAUCAUCAAAAGGUGGCAAGAUUGGGACUCCUUCCCGCGUUUGAACAAUCCAACAAGAAUAAAGUGUAGCACAGAUUUAAUUUUUCACAAGUAGUCUAUAAAAGUGAAAAAGGAGCCGCGUUACGCAAAAAAGGUACAGGUGACCAGGGGCCAAGAGCGUGCAAAAAAACUUGCACACUCCAACACGAGGAGGCGCGAUCUUGUCAUAAGUAUUCCUAUCCCAUUUUUUGAUUUAGCACAACAAACGAUCUGUUUUUUUUUUUUGAGGGAAUAAAACAUUUUGUAUAUAACAAAUAUAUUUAAAAAUAUAUUAUGGGCAAAUUGCUCAUUGUUUCUUGAGAAAAUCUAGGUAAGAAAAUUAUUUCUGGAACAAAUUUGAAGAAACUUCGGAAAAAAAUUGUAGAGAAAUUUCAAAAAUAAAAUUAUUUAAAAAAAUUUACAAAAGAUUUUGUUGCAAAUGUUCUUGGGGAGGUUGACAUUGGGGAAGAGUUCUGGAGUUUGACGACAGGUUCAGAAGAAGUUCACAUGUCGAGGCAUUUAGUCUUAAGCGCUUAAACGUAGCUUGGUGUCCUCUUCUGAAAAAAAAUUAUUGAAAAAUUUCCAAAAAUUACAGUCUACUCACGUUUUUGUGCAUAUUUUUGGAGUACGUUAAUCGGAUGCU